rnacentral:rRNA from 1 species
UACGUAGGGGGCGAGCGUUGUCCGGAUUUACUGGGCGUAAAACGCUUGUAGGCGGCCACGCCAAGUCGGACGUGAAAUCUCCCGGCUUAACUGGGAGGGGUCGUUCGAUACUGGCGGGCUCGAGGCAGGUAGGGGGAAGCGGAAUUCCCGGUGUAGUGGUGGAAUGCGUAGAUAUCGGGAGGAACACCAGUGGCGAAGGCGACUUCCUGGCCUGUUCUUGACGCUGAGGCGCGAAAGCUAGGGUAGCAAACGGG